rnacentral:rRNA from 1 species
GAUGAACGCUGGCGGCGUGCCUAAUACAUGCAAGUCGAGCGAACGGACGAGAAGCUUGCUUUUCUGAUGUUAGCGGCGGACGGGUGAGUAACACGUGGAUAACCUACCUAUAAGACUGGGAUAACUUCGGGAAACCGGAGCUAAUACCGGAUAAUAUUUUGAACCGCAUGGUUCAAAAGUGAAAGACGGUCUUGCUGUCACUUAUAGAUGGAUCCGCGCUGCAUUAGCUAGUUGGUAAGGUAACGGCUUACCAAGGCAACGAUGCAUAGCCGACCUGAGAGGGUGAUCGGCCACACUGGAACUGAGACACGGUCCAGACUCCUACGGGAGGCAGCAGUAGGGAAUCUUCCGCAAUGGGCGAAGGCCUGACGGAGCAACGCCGCGUGAGUGAUGAAGGUCUUCGGAUCGUAAAACUCUGUUAUUAGGGAAGAACAUAUGUGUAAGUAACUGUGUACAUCUUGACGGUACCUAAUCAGAAAGCCACGGCUAACUACGUG